rnacentral:rRNA from 1 species
UGGGGAAUAUUGGACAAUGGGCGCAAGCCUGAUCCAGCAAUACCGCGUGUGUGAAGAAGGCCUGAGGGUUGUAAAGCACUUUCAGUGGGGAGGAAAAAGGGCUGGUUAAUACCUGGCUCCUUGACAUUACCCACAGAAGAAGCACCGGCUAACUCCGUGCCAGCAGCCGCGGUAAUACGGAGGGUGCGAGCGUUAAUCGGAAUUACUGGGCGUAAAGCGUGCGUAGGCGGUGCGUUAAGUUAGAUGUGAAAGCCCUGGGCUUAACCUGGGAACGGCAUUUAAGACUGGCGCGCUAGAGUUGGGUAGAGGGAAGUGGAAUUUCCGGUGUAGCGGUGAAAUGCGUAGAUAUCGGAAGGAACACCAGUGGCGAAGGCGGCUUCCUGGACCCAAACUGACGCUGAGGUACGAAAGCGUGGGUAGCAAACAGG